rnacentral:lncRNA from 1 species
AUGAAAGUCAACUUUUCAGACAGGAGGCUGCACGCCAAUUGUAGCCAGGCUAAAAUAUCUCCCUUAUAUCAGAAGCAUAUGCAGUCCUGGCCAAACAUUAGUCUCAUCAGCCCACUUGUUCAAGUGGCUGAGGAUUCCACUUCUAUCCAAAUUCAUGACAUCUCCCUAGGACAGCUGGGGAUGGAGCUCAGGAGAAACAAGGCUCUCAAUGACAGCUCACUGCCUGUCCCUCACACCCCUGUCUGUCUGCAGAGCAGCACACCAGCAGCAGAACCUCCCGUGGCUCGCCCUGUGCCUCCAGAGGCUGAUGGGGAGGCAAAGGAUAACAAUCCCGCCCGUGUUGUCAGUCCAGGGCCUGAGCAUCCUGAACCAGCCCCAAGACCAGAGCUUCCUGCCAGUCAGGACUCCUCGGGCCGGGCAGGAAAGGCAGAGCGGCAGCAGAGGAUGGAUAGAGCACCAAGAGCCCUGGAGUUCAGAUGGAAGGAGUUGGCUGCAUUUGAGGGAAAGCGCCACUCCUCACCAGACAGGGCGUUUGAAGCGGCACCUGAGACAGCAGAGGAAUCACAGCCUCAGAGAGAUCUGCUGAAGGAGGAAGUUCCUCUGGCAGUGACAAAGGUUUGCCGCUCGCAGCGGCCAGCACACAGGACUCUGGAGAAGCUGCUCCAGGAGUUUUCUCGCCAAGGGCACACGCUGUCCCAGGUGUGCAAAGAGAAGGCAGUGCUGGCGGAAGAGAACGCUGCCCUGCAAGCCCGACUGGCAGCCACAGAGCGGGACCUACGAGGCCUUUUGGAGCAGCUGGCAGAGGCCAGGACAGAGAAGGAGAGCUUGCAAUGCAGCCUGUUGGAGGCUCUGCAGCAGGUGUCGGAGCUGGAGAUCACCAGGAGCCGUCUGGAAGGCCAAGUAGGCACAGCCAUGCAGGCCAAGGAGCUGAUACUUGGUGAGAGCCUCGUGCGCUUUGUUUCUGGUGAUGGCCCUGCCUAGUGCAGUUGCUCCCAAGGCAGCUCUG